UGUGAGCCCACACAGUGAGCCCUUGAAGUUGAGGUCAAAAACACCAGGCACAAGAGACGUGGUACAGAGCAGCCAGAGAAAGUGUGACUCUGGGCCUGUCUGUGAAAGUCUGUGAAGAAUUGAAGGGGACCUUCAAUCCAGUUAAUUGAAAUUCAGGACGUUUCAGAGAAUUUCAGUUAAAUUGUGUCUCCUAGUGAUGCAAGCUAACGUGUAUUUAGCGGAAGCGUGGCAGCCACAGUGGUGCGGACAGCUCUCCGUCCGUUCCACGCUCUCCACCGGCUCACACCCGCCCUCCGCUGAGCUCCGGAGAGCUCGCCGCCCUCACCGAGCCACACCCGCACGAUCCCGGGAGGUCCUUCCCGCCCCGCGUCCCCCGCGGGCCACGCCCGGGAACACAGUCUCGCCUCCGCCAGGCGGCUGCACGCUCAGCCGCAAGUCUCCGCCGCCCAGCGCCCUGCCCCGCAGCCCGCGCGUGGAUUAGUCUGUACUCGCGAUUCCUCUGCCUUUCCGCCCUCCACGUUCACAGCGGAAGGUCCGCGACCGCGUGGAGGCUGCAUCCGGAGGCCACCUUCCUCAGGGAUGACUACGGAUCUCGAAACUCAAUCCUCCCGCAACCUGCCGGGGCCACCUAGCACUUGGAAGCUUGACCCUGGUUUCCGUCCAAGUGCGGGACACCAGAAAAGGCCUGGCCAGGGUGUGAAGAAAACGCGACAUGAAAAUAAAAUAGUUCAUGGACAUCUCUGAUUCUUGCCCACCGGUCCCCAGAUCACCAGGACAUUCCCCUGCCUUCAGUCGUAGACAACCCCUUCAAGGUGCCCACCAGCUCCGGAGGACCGCCUCACCCCCAGCUUUGAGUCCUGGCCCAGCGUGCGUUCACCUGGAUAUCCACCCAUCUGUACAUGGCUAUAGCAAGAUGUUAAAGAACGUCAGCAAGUUUCUUUACACCCAAGGGUAAAGAGUGUGUGGACAAAAAUCUAGUUCUUCUAUUGUUUCACAGACAACCCAAGGUUGUCAGUUAACUCUUGCCAUCGCUGAUUUGUUACCUUUAGGGGGAAAAGGAAAACGUAUUGAGCACACAUUCUGAAAAAUUAACCAUGUAUUGUUCUGGAUUCGGGAAUGCUUUGUGAACGCAUUAAAAUGCUAGUGCUGUUCAAAAAUGGAUUAGAA